rnacentral:rRNA from 1 species
UCUACCUACGGGGCGCAGCAGUGAGGAAUAUUGGUCAAUGGGCGAGAGCCUGAACCAGCCAAGUCGCGUGAGGGAGUACUGCCCUAUGGGUUGUAAACCUCUUUUGUCGGGGAGCAAAAGCCGGACGUGUCCGGCUGUGAGAGUACCCGAAGAAAAAGCAUCGGCUAACUCCGUGCCAGCAGCCGCGGUAAUACGGAGGAUGCGAGCGUUAUCCGGAUUUAUUGGGUUUAAAGGGUGCGUAGGCGGUCCGGAAAGUCAGCGGUAAAAGCCCGGGGCUCAACCCCGGCGAGCCGUUGAAACUGUCC